rnacentral:lncRNA from 1 species
GGGACCGGCGCGAUCGGGCCAUCAGUGCUCCAUCGCAUGACCAUGUAGGAUCAUGAGAUCACGCCACCAGCGCGGUCCCGCUGUUGUUAGGCAUUGAAGCGAGCAAGGGUAUAGGAAGAGCCCAGCGACAGCAGAACUGACAGCCAAAGUGUGCGAGCAAAAGCGAGUGUCCAAGUCACGCCAGCAGUACAGAGAACGACAAAACGUCCGCGAGCUAGCCUCGCUGAUUUAGACGGACAAUAAUAGUUCGUUUCAAAAUCGGCCACCCAAGUCAGAGCUACAAGGCUACAACAAAGAAUUCGCUCUGGAUUAAACGGAAGAAACACCUGAUCCAGUUCACGAAGAGGACGGACAAAUACAAUAUUGUGCACAAAGUGAAUGUAUGUAACGAACAGAAGGAAACGUUUC